rnacentral:lncRNA from 1 species
CCCCCCCCCCCCCCCCCCCCCCCCCCCCCCCCCCCCCCCCCCCCCCCCCCCCCCCCCCCCCCCCCCCCCCCCCCCCCCCCCCCCCCCCCCCCCCCCCCCCCCCCCCCCCCCCCCCCCCAACGAACAAAUAAAAACACUAAAACAAAAAGAGGUGGGCGGGCGGUGGCAUCAUGGUCUGGCCGGGCAGUGCGCUCCCGUCUCCCCGCGGGCCGCUCCUGUUGUUUUCCCAGCAAUAGUCUGGGUAGGGCGAGCGUUUUCCAGCCGUGCCCUUGGACCUUUUUUCUGGAGCGGCCUUGGGGCACCGUCAGCGGCCAAGCCGGGGUGCGGGAGCGGGAAUCCCGCGGGCCGGGUGGCAACGAGUCCCGUGUGUUCUGUACAGAAAGGGAAUUCCCCUGUGUGCUCCAAAAAUCACAGUAGAAAAGCCAGUAGCAGCAAGGAAAAUAAGCUGAGGACAGAGAAAUAA